GACAGAGGGGGCAAGCGUUGCUCGGAAUCACUGGGCGUAAAGGGCGCGUAGGCGGGAUGGCAAGUCGGUCGUGAAAGCCUUCGGCUCAACCGAAGAACGUCGGCCGAUACUGCCGUUCUUGAGGGAUGCAGAGGAGACUGGAAUUCCCGGUGUAGCGGUGAAAUGUGUAGAGAUCGGGAGGAACACCGGUGGCGAAGGCGGGUCUCUGGGCAUCUCCUGACGCUGAGGCGCGAAAGCGUGGGGAGCAAACGGGG
rnacentral:rRNA from 1 species